rnacentral:lncRNA from 1 species
UGGGCCAGUACUUUUACCAUGCUUUAGUGAUUUUAUAACAUUUUUUAUUUCAGAUAUUUUAAUAGGGUUAUCUGUUUGUUUUUCAUUUAAUUUUUGUUCCCUGUUUUCUACCUCUUUAGAUAUUAAAUUUUUGAAAUUUUCAUCUAUUUUAUCUGGUUCUCCUUGUGUUUUAAAGUGUUUAGCUAGCAGAUUAAGAUCAAAAAGUGGUGAAUCAUUUGAGUUUGUUUCUCUUUUAUUAAUUCCUUUUAAGAUAUUCCAAAAUUCCUUACUCUCUGUAGGAGACAGAUUUUUAAGUUUAUUUAAUAUGUUUUGUUUAUACUGCUUUCUUUUAAA